AAAAGUCGUCGGUUAAAGUCGAAAAAUUUUCAAAAUUUUCAACCAAAAUUUUUUGGCGGUCAACCAAAAUUUUCAAAAGAUUUUAGCCGACGAAAAUAAAGAAUUUCGUCGGCUAAAGUUCUUUAUAUAGGCGAAGAUGGAUGGUAAGAAGUCUAUUAUCUGCCAGAUUUUCUUCUCGGCCUAGCUCCGCCGUCAAGCCACCGGAGACCGUCACACUUGUCUCAAAAGCUUCGCCGUCGUCUCUACUUCAUUGCUGGAUAGGUGGUGCAUCGAGUAACGCCGCCGUGAGGGAUAAAUCGAGCUCCAAAACUCCGCCGGUUCGGAUUCGGUGUCGAUCAAAUUUCUCCUUCCUUAGGCCACCAUUUGGUGAGUUCUAUAUAUGGAUAAGUUGAGUUUGAUUAGUACUACAGUCCCCUAGAAUUUGGUAGCUCGAUUCGAUGUGUGUGAAGAGAAUCAAAGAUUUGAAGUUUUUAGGGUUUAAAAUUGAGGAUUUUUAUAUUUUGAGUCGAUUGACCUGUUUAGGCUUAGAAUUGAGCUUCGACUUCUUCUAGAAAGUUGUUCGAAAUGUUGAGAGGAAGAUUCUGUCAAAUUUUGGUCGUGAUUGGAGGUGGCCGAAAGGUUCUGCAGUUUUUUUUUUCAAAACCCAGCAACUUUAGCCGACGAUAUUUAAAUACUAUAUUCGUCGGCUAUAGUAUUUUUAAUUUUUUUUAUAAGGUUUAGCCGACGAAUUAUGGCAUGUUUCGUCGGCUAUAGUUAUUUUUUAAAUUUUUUAUAAGGUUUAGCCGACGAAGUAUAGUAAAUUUCGUCGGUUAUAGUUAUUUUUAAAUUUUU
rnacentral:lncRNA from 1 species